UGAAGUUGGCAAGGUCAUCUGCUGAGAGUGGAGAAAGAGAAUAAAGAAGAUGUCAAAGAAUUGUUGCAAAUAAUGGGAGAUUAACUUGACCAAAGAACCCUAGAAGGGUCCAUCGUCACUGUAUUACUUGUUGGGAUAAUGAAACUUACUAAAGCUGUAUCAGGAUUCCAGAUGUGCCAAGAAGACUUUCAGUUGCAUGGACUGACGGCCUUGGGAUUCCUUCACCUAUCCACAAUCCUUCGUGGAUCAUUAUGGUGUCAUUGUGAAGACAGGGAGUGAUGGAGCCCAGUUUUGCUUGAAGAAUGUACCUACCUUUACAUCUGAUAUAAAGUAAGUGUUGUUUUAAUUUUCCUGAAUGUCUCACUUCACUUAUUCUCUCAAUAUUUUAAAUAUUU